rnacentral:misc_RNA from 1 species
AAAUAGGGAAAUCAAACUUAUAUUAGUAUUGUCUUAAUUAGAAACAGCAUACAUGGGUCAUUUCACACACCAACUCCACAUUACAUAUACAUAGAACAUGGCUUAUACCAGAAAAAAGCAAUAAUACACAAGGUUCAAUUCACAGAGGAACAGACCAGAUUUCAUCAAAUACAUUGAACAUGGUUUUGCCUUAUUUAAGUGAUAUUUCACAAGGGCAGCUAGAGAUGGAAAUUCAUGAAAUAAUAACAUGCGAUGAACACCAGAGCUGGGCCGUGAAAACCCUAGGCGGGAACCAUGGUACUGUGGGUGUUGAGACCAUCAAUCUCCUCCAUGGGCUGUGGAGGUGUGACAUCUAGAUCCUCAGGAGAACCAUCAGUGCCGUCCUCGUUCUCUUCAACACUGAGACUAAUGGCUUCAAAGAUGAGAGCAGUCACUUCUUGGAACCUUGCUUCAGAGAGUGAGACCUCUGCGAGAAGCCUCCAUGCAUUUGCCUCAGUUGCACCCUCAUAAUCCUCCUUCCUCUUCAAGACCAUGUGUCCACUAAUCUCCCAAACAGCAGGAUUGACUUGGGUGUCGAGGAGUUCAGCGCUGACCUCUCCAAGCGCUUGUUUCUCCGCAUAGCACUGUGGGAGAAGGAAUAUCCUUUUCCCUGAAUCAGAGAUUAGGACAUUGUAAGGGAUGUUGUUCUCUUGCAGACAAAUGCAAGAAUCUGAGACAACAUCGGCCAAAUCCUCCAAAGUAUUUCCACCCUCAAAGACAAGACCUCGAACUGGGUAAUUCAGCAUCUCCGAUAUCUUCACUCCAGCAUCAGUGACAGUUAUCUUCUGAGUUGGGGCCUUCUCAAUGGGAAAUUGCACA